UUCAAGAAUGCACUUCAAGCAAACCCUUGGUGAGGAGCUGCGAGACCAAUCCCACAAACUUUCAUUUGUUCUCUAGACAAGAAGUAUGGUACAAUGGGAAAGAUGCUGGAUUGGAGUCCAGAUCAUGGUUUUCAUAAAUAUGAUGUGAAAACAAAUGAGAAACUUCCCUAUGACUGAGUUGGGAGGGACUUCUGGAGCCAACUAAUCCAAUUCCUCAAUUGAAGAAGAAUCCCUACAACAACAUCCUUGAGGUCUUUUCUUAAAGACCUCAAAGACUUAACCCACUGCUUCUCCCAGGGAACUCAUUUCAUUUUUGGAUAGCUCUAUAAUUUUUAGGAAGUUUUUUUCCCUACAUCAAGCUUCAAUUUAUCACUUUGCAAAUUUCACCCAAUUGUUCCUGGUUCUGUCUUCUAGGAUCGAGAAGAAUAAAUUGAUCACAGUGAAAUCUUUUCUGUAAGUUCACCACUUUAAAUUUCUUCAAUCAGUCUUCACACAACUAUGAAAGGGCAGAAUCAGGACUCAAAUCCAGGAUUAAAAAACCACUAAUCCAAUGCUCCUUCCAGUAUAGCAGGCUGCAACUAAAAGAACUUGAGAACCACUGCUAUUGGCAAGAGAGAAUCAUAUAAGAUUUUUGAAAACACACUUGUAUCUACCUAUGCUUCAGAAAGCUAGCUCUGGCAGCCUGAUGGAUUGGAGAAGGGAAGCUAGAAGGAGACCAAUUGGGAUACUAGUGCAGUAAUUUAGACUAUUUGUUUUCUUUUCCAUUGCCUGGUUCAGGCUCUAAUCAUACCUUGUGCUUAAUCAGGACAAGACCAUGGUGUACAGUUCCAAUUGUUCAGUGAUGAAGAGAGCCAUCUGCACUCAAAGAGGACUGGGGGAACUGAGUGUGCACCACAACAUAGCAUUCUCACUCUGUUGUUUGCUUACAUUUUUGUUUUCCUUCU